GAAUGCAGUGAUGGAGAUGAGUUUGAUUAUACUGCUUCUGCUGUCAGGUUGGUGUGUACUGUUUUCAAAAGUACAUGUACACAUGCAUAUUUUUAAAAAUGUUUGUUUUAACAGGAUUUUUGUGCAGCACAUCUGAUUUUCCGCGAAAGUACUACUACAUAAAUCAGAGUAUGACAUGGGCAGCAGCUCAGAGUUACUGCAGACAGAAGCACAUUGAUCUGGCUACUGUAGACUCUAUGAAUGAUGUGAACAAGCUGAUAAAUACUGUGGAUCCUGGGUACAGUGGAUCAGUGUGGACUGGACUGAAGAGGGCGACACUGAGUCGAUGGGUUUGGUCUAUGGGAGAUGACACUCUUUCACAGUACAAGAACUGGUAUCCAGGAGAACCUUCUGGUGAUGGACCAUGUGUUGAAACUCACAAUGGAAUUUGGAACGAUCUUUCAUGUUAUUCUGUUUUAUAUUUUGUGUGCUACAAUGAAAGCGUUGGAAACGUCCUAAUAACAAUUGGAAAAAACUGGAGAGAUGCUCAGAGUUACUGCAGACAGUAUCACACUGACCUGGCCACCAUCCACAACUCUGUGGAGCAGAACCAGGUAUAUACUCUUGGUCAAAGUGGAUGGUGGGUCUGGAUUGGUCUGUUCUUGGACUCCUGGCAGUGGUCUGACCAGAGGAGUUUCUACUUUAGAUACUGGGCAGCAGGACAACCCACAACUGGUGACUGUGUUGCCAUGUCAACAACUGACUCUGGGAAAUGGGCUACUUACAGCUGUGACCAAUCACGUCCUUUUAUCUGUUAUGAUGUUUAUCAAAAACAGGUCAUCAGAUUAAACUUGUCCUGUCGUGGAAAAUACGAUAUGAAUGAUCCUUCACUACAGG